ensembl:snoRNA
UUGCACAGUGAAUACCCAAGGGUGCUUUGUAGUUUCCUUGGCUUUGACUCUGUGCUAGAGUAAUAUCUGUUCUUUUCCUCUGCAUUCAAAUGGGUAUUUCACCUUUGAAAUGUAUUCAGAAAGUCAGGACAUUU